UACGGGGGGUGCGAGCGUUGUCCGGAAUCACUGGGCGUAAAGGGCGCGUAGGUGGUUUGAUAAGGGUGUGGUGAAAGUCCGGGGCUCAACUCCGGAUCUGCCGUGCCGACUGUCAAACUCGAGGGCUGUAGAGGCAGACGGAAUUCCGGGUGUAGCGGUGGAAUGCGUAGAGAUCCGGAGGAAGACCGGUGGCGAAGGCGGUCUGCUGGGCAGUUUCUGACACUGAGGCGCGACAGCGUGGGGAGCAAACAGG
rnacentral:rRNA from 1 species